rnacentral:rRNA from 1 species
UUAAGUUAUUAAGGGCGCACGGUGGAUGCCUUGGCACUAGAAGCCGAUGAAGGACGUUACUAACGACGAUAUGCUUUGGGGAGCUGUAAGUAAGCUUUGAUCCAGAGAUUUCCGAAUGGGGAAACCCAGCAUGAGUUAUGUCAUGUUAUCGAUAUGUGAAUACAUAGCAUAUCAGAAGGCACACCCGGAGAACUGAAACAUCUUAGUACCCGGAGGAAGAGAAAGAAAAUUCGAUUCCCUUAGUAGCGGCGAGCGAAACGGGAAGAGCCCAAACCAACAAGCUUGCUUGUUGGGGUUGUAGGACACUCUAUACGGAGUUACAAAGGACGACAUUAGACGAAUCAUCUGGAAAGAUGAAUCAAAGAAGGUAAUAAUCCUGUAGUCGAAAAUGUUGUCUCUCUUGAGUGGAUCCUGAGUACGACGGAGCACGUGAAAUUCCGUUGGAAUCUGGGAGGACCAUCUCCUAAGGCUAAAUACUCUCUAGUGACCGAUAGUGAACCAGUACCGUGAGGGAAAGGUGAAAAGCACCCCGGAAGGGGAGUGAAAUAGAACCUGAAACCGUGUGCUUACAAGUAGUCAGAGCCCGUUAAUGGGUGAUGGCGUGCCUUUUGUAGAAUGAACCGGCGAGUUACGAUUUGAUGCAAGGUUAAGCAGUAAAUGUGGAGCCGUAGCGAAAGCGAGUCUGAAUAGGGCGUUUAGUAUUUGGUCGUAGACCCGAAACCAGGUGAUCUACCCUUGGUCAGGUUGAAGUUCAGGUAACACUGAAUGGAGGACCGAACCGACUUACGUUGAAAAGUGAGCGGAUGAACUGAGGGUAGCGGAGAAAUUCCAAUCGAACCUGGAGAUAGCUGGUUCUCUCCGAAAUAGCUUUAGGGCUAGCCUCAAGUGAUGAUUAUUGGAGGUAGAGCACUGUUUGGACGAGGGGCCCCUCUCGGGUUACCGAAUUCAGACAAACUCCGAAUGCCAAUUAAUUUAACUUGGGAGUCAGAACAUGGGUGAUAAGGUCCGUGUUCGAAAGGGAAACAGCCCAGACCACCAGCUAAGGUCCCAAAAUAUAUGUUAAGUGGAAAAGGAUGUGGCGUUGCCCAGACAACUAGGAUGUUGGCUUAGAAGCAGCCAUCAUUUAAAGAGUGCGUAAUAGCUCACUAGUCGAGUGACACUGCGCCGAAAAUGUACCGGGGCUAAACAUAUUACCGAAGCUGUGGAUUGUCCUUUGGACAAUGGUAGGAGAGCGUUCUAAGGGCGUUGAAGCAUGAUCGUAAGGACAUGUGGAGCGCUUAGAAGUGAGAAUGCCGGUGUGAGUAGCGAAAGACGGGUGAGAAUCCCGUCCACCGAUUGACUAAGGUUUCCAGAGGAAGGCUCGUCCGCUCUGGGUUAGUCGGGUCCUAAGCUGAGGCCGACAGGCGUAGGCGAUGGAUAACAGGUUGAUAUUCCUGUACCACCUAUAAUCGUUUUAAUCGAUGGGGGGACGCAGUAGGAUAGGCGAAGCGUGCGAUUGGAUUGCACGUCUAAGCAGUAAGGCUGAGUAUUAGGCAAAUCCGGUACUCAUUAAGGCUGAGCUGUGAUGGGGAGAAGACAUUGUGUCUUCGAGUCGUUGAUUUCACACUGCCGAGAAAAGCCUCUAGAUAGAAAAUAGGUGCCCGUACCGCAAACCGACACAGGUAGUCAAGAUGAGAAUUCUAAGGUGAGCGAGCGAACUCUCGUUAAGGAACUCGGCAAAAUGACCCCGUAACUUCGGGAGAAGGGGUGCUCUUUAGGGUUAACGCCCAGAAGAGCCGCAGUGAAUAGGCCCAAGCGACUGUUUAUCAAAAACACAGGUCUCUGCUAAACCGUAAGGUGAUGUAUAGGGGCUGACGCCUGCCCGGUGCUGGAAGGUUAAGAGGAGUGGUUAGCUUCUGCGAAGCUACGAAUCGAAGCCCCAGUAAACGGCGGCCGUAACUAUAACGGUCCUAAGGUAGCGAAAUUCCUUGUCGGGUAAGUUCCGACCCGCACGAAAGGCGUAACGAUUUGGGCACUGUCUCAACGAGAGACUCGGUGAAAUCAUAGUACCUGUGAAGAUGCAGGUUACCCGCGACAGGACGGAAAGACCCCGUGGAGCUUUACUGUAGCCUGAUAUUGAAAUUCGGCACAGCUUGUACAGGAUAGGUAGGAGCCUUUGAAACGUGAGCGCUAGCUUACGUGGAGGCGCUGGUGGGAUACUACCCUAGCUGUGUUGGCUUUCUAACCCGCACCACUUAUCGUGGUGGGAGACAGUGUCAGGCGGGCAGUUUGACUGGGGCGGUCGCCUCCUAAAAGGUAACGGAGGCGCUCAAAGGUUCCCUCAGAAUGGUUGGAAAUCAUUCAUAGAGUGUAAAGGCAUAAGGGAGCUUGACUGCGAGACCUACAAGUCGAGCAGGGCCGAAAGACGGACUUAGUGAUCCGGUGGUUCCGCAUGGAAGGGCCAUCGCUCAACGGAUAAAAGCUACCCCGGGGAUAACAGGCUUAUCUCCCCCA